rnacentral:rRNA from 1 species
CGAAAGCCUGACGGAGCAACGCCGCGUGAGGGAGGAAGGCUCUUGGGUUGUAAACCUCUUUUCUCAGGGAAGAAGCUCUGACGGUACCUGAGGAAUCAGCCUCGGCUAACUCCGUGCCAGCAGCCGCGGUAAUACGGAGGAGGCAAGCGUUAUCCGGAAUUAUUGGGCGUAAAGCGUCCGCAGGUGGCGAUUCAAGUCUGCUGUCAAAGCACGGGGCUUAACUCCGUUAAGGCAGUGGAAAUUGGUGCGCUAGAGGGCGACAGGGGUAGAGGGAAUUCCCAGUGUAGCGGUGAAAUGCGUAGAGAUUGGGAAGAACACCGGUGGCGAAAGCGCUCUACUGGGUCGCACCUGACCCUCAGGGACGAAAGCUAAGGUAGCG